rnacentral:rRNA from 1 species
UACGUAGGGUGCGAGCGUUGUCCGGAAUUAUUGGGCGUAAAGAGCUCGUAGGCGGUUUGUCGCGUCGGCCGUGAAAACUUGGGGCUUAACUCCAAGCUUGCGGUCGAUACGGGCAGACUAGAGGUAUUCAGGGGAGAACGGAAUUCCUGGUGUAGCGGUGAAAUGCGUAGAUAUCGGGAGGAACACCUGUGGCGAAGGCGGCUUUCUGGGCCUUACCUGACGCUGAGACGCGAAAGCGUGGGGAGCGAACCGG